rnacentral:misc_RNA from 1 species
GUAGGUGAACCUGCGGAAGGAUCAUUAAAAAAUUCUGAAUGUUUUUGACGUUCUAAUUUCCACUCUGCGUACCUGUCUCUGUAAGCUUCCGUUGGGCAGCGGGCCCCAGCUAUUCUGGAGCCCCCUUCUGUUUGGGCGGAAACGUCCACUUUGACGGAAGAGUCCCGGCGGCGGCCAUCAAUUUACAAACUCUGUUGGAAAACGUGUGUCUCUCUGUCUGAUGAAAUGUUUGAAAAAAACUUAAAAGAUA